AUUGAACGCUGGCGGCAGGCCUAACACAUGCAAGUCGAGCGGAUGAACGGAGCUUGCUCCUGGAUUCAGCGGCGGACGGGCGAGUGAUUCCUAGGUAUCUGCCUGGCAGUGGGGGCUAACGUCCGGACACGGGCGCUAAUACCGUAUACGUCCUGAGGGCGAACGUGGGGGAUCUUCGGACCUCACGCUCUUAGAUGAGCCUAGGUCGGAUUAGCUAGUUGGUGGGGUAAAGGCCUACCAAGGCGACGAUCCGUAGCUGGUCUGAGAGGAUGAUCAGUCACACUGGAACUGAGACACGGUCCAGACUCCUACGGGAGGCAGCAGUGGGGAAUAUUGGACAAUGGGCGAAAGCCUGAUCCAGCCAUGCCGCGUGUGUGAAGAAGGUCUUCGGAUUGUAAAGCACUUUAAUUUGGGAAGAAAAGCAGUAAGUUAAUACCUUGCUGUUUUGACGGUACCAACAGAAUAAGCACCGGCUAACUUCGUG
rnacentral:rRNA from 1 species